ensembl:antisense 4930439A04Rik RIKEN cDNA 4930439A04 gene
GUUGAGUCCUAAUUUCACACAGGACAAGAGCAGGAAGAAGGCAGCCCAAGGAUAACAAAAUGUAAGAGCUGACAGACCAGAGAUACCUGUGGCACCUCUUGGAUUAACUUUUCCAGCUCAGUGGAUGGUACCACAGCUUUCCAGAACAAGGCAAAAAAUGUGGAGACCUCCCUUCCUGUACCAGCUCCCACUUCCCAACAAUCUGACAGUCCUUACAGGACCUUCUACGACCAGAUCCUUCUCACCGAGGCUCACUCCUUGGUCUCCACUACAGCUGAAGAGGUUACAAGGAAUUCUGGGUAAGUGCCAUCACCCUGCAGCUUUGUAGACUGUUCCUCUACCUCAUUCCCCACAACCAUGGUGAUGUACAAAGACAUUAAUUACAUACCAAAGAGAGGAGGAUGG